UCGAGCGGAACGAGUUAUCUGAACCUUCGGGGAACGAUAACGGCGUCGAGCGGCGGACGGGUGAGUAAUGCCUAGGAAAUUGCCCUGAUGUGGGGGAUAACCAUUGGAAACGAUGGCUAAUACCGCAUGAUGCCUACGGGCCAAAGAGGGGGACCUUCGGGCCUCUCGCGUCAGGAUAUGCCUAGGUGGGAUUAGCUAGUUGGUGAGGUAAGGGCUCACCAAGGCGACGAUCCCUAGCUGGUCUGAGAGGAUGAUCAGCCACACUGGAACUGAGACACGGUCCAGACUCCUACGGGAGGCAGCAGUGGGGAAUAUUGCACAAUGGGCGCAAGCCUGAUGCAGCCAUGCCGCGUGUGUGAAGAAGGCCUUCGGGUUGUAAAGCACUUUCAGUCGUGAGGAAGGUAGUGUAGUUAAUAGCUGCAUUAUUUGACGUUAGCGACAGAAGAAGCACCGGCUAACUCCGUGCCAGCAGCCGCGGUAAUACGGAGGGUGCGAGCGUUAAUCGGAAUUACUGGGCGUAAAGCGCAUGCAGGUGGUUUGUUAAGUCAGAUGUGAAAGCCCGGGGCUCAACCUCGGAAUUGCAUUUGAAACUGGCAGACUAGAGUACUGUAGAGGGGGGUAGAAUUUCAGGUGUAGCGGGUGAAAUGCGUAGAGAUCUGAAGGAAUACCGGUGGCGAAGGCGGCCCCCUGGACAGAUACUGACACUCAGAUGCGAAAGCGUGGGGAGCAAACAGGAUUAGAUACCCUGCAGUCCACGCCCGUAACGAUGUCUACUUGGAGGUUGUGGUCUUGAGCCGGUGCUUUCGGGAGCCUAACGCCGUUAAGUAGACCCGCCCUGGGGGGAGUUACCGGUUCGG
rnacentral:rRNA from 1 species